rnacentral:lncRNA from 1 species
GUCGGGCUGGCUGAGCCACCCGGCUCGGCCCGGUGGCCCCAGGGGCCUCCACCCGGGCCUCCGAGAAGAGCGGGGACGGGACCGCCCGGCUCGCCCGCCUCCCUCCCCAGCCCGCGCGGUCGGCCGCGGCCACCUUAGGCCUUCCCGGGCGGCGGGACGGACAGACGGACGGGCCCGCGGGGCUGAGGGGCGGCCGGGGAGGGAGCGGGCGUGCGCGGCUGGCCGGGGACGGCGCUUUUUCACCGUUAGCGUCGUUAUGUGGUUACCUGUGCGCGGCAGGGCUCCCCAGCUCCUACUCCCUGAUCCUCCUCCCCUCCUUCCUCUCUCUCUCUCUGUUUCUCACUCUCUCGCUCUCUGUGUGUCUCCCCCUCAGUCUGCCGGGCUCUCGUGGAACCUGAAGGGCGGGAGGUGGCGGCGGUGACCGGCAGGCACGUGACCACGCUCGCGCCGUCACGGCGUCCGUCCGCCUGCCUCCCUCCCGGCGCUCCACCUCUGCUAACCCGGGGCCGGUGCGCAGGCGCGCGGCCGGCGGGGCGAGCCGGCGGGCGGGGCUCGGGGCCGCCCGGGGCUGGGGUCUGGGCUGGGACGGAGCGACGGGGUCGGACCGCGCGUAGGGCCUCCGCCCUUCCUGUGCGGCCACCGCAAGUCCCGGCCGCCGGCUUCCCAGAGUGGGGCUGGCGAGCAGCGAAGUCUGCUCGGGGAAGGUCCUGGGAGUCUGGCGCUCCUGCCCAGGGACACCUGUAAAUGGCCUUCCCGUCGCCACUGGGCCGCAGCUGUGCAGAUGUAGCUCUCAACUACUUCUCCAGCACCAUGUUUGCCAUCCAGGCUGAUCAACCAUGAUGAUAAUGGGCUAAACUGACACUAAAUCAUCGACUUGCUGUACGACUAAGCAGAAUAUUAUUAUGCGAUGAAAAGUACUGCAGCACUCUGAAGACCCCUGUGGAAGGCCUCACCCUCCCUGGGGAGCAGAAAGGUGUCUCUGCAUGUUUGUGAACAGUUGUUAGCUGAAGUUGCAGUCCAUCUGUGUUUGCAGCCUCCAGGGGUUGGUAGCAAAGGUGUAUUCUGGGAGGAGAAGUUUGUUGUAGUCAUUUUUCUAUUUCUGUAAUAAAACACCAUGACCAAGGCAACUACUGUCUUAGUUAGGGUUUUAUUACCAUUAAGAGACACCAUGAUACCUGGGCAGUACACACCUUUAAGAAGUGACAGUGAGCCACUAGGUCUGGCUUGAGCUUCUGAGACCUCAAAGUCCACCUCUGGUGACACACGUCCUCCAACAAGGCAAUGUCUCCUAAUAAUGCCAACAAGAAUACACUUGUUAAUCCUUCCCAAAUAGCCACCAAAGUGGAAACCAAGAAUUCAAAUGGC